rnacentral:lncRNA from 1 species
GUUAUUUGACAUUGAAAGAUAACGUUUAGUGUUGUACACACAAGCUUUAUAAAAAUGAGUAGUAUUUCGGAUAAUUUAACUUUGGAAAAAGCUAUUGAGGCUUUAGAGAAAGUGAAGGCUGAAUUUGAAAUCGACAAUGGUCGAAUAGCCAUUAUUACACCUGAUCGGUAUGCAGAGACAUAUGACAUUAUGUGCAACCAUUUUACCCCCAGCCUCUAAGUAAAGCUUUUGGUGUCACGUGGAAUGAAGAGUUUGAACAGUCAGUACACGAGAAUCUUGUGCAGAAUGUGUCUAUCUGCAUGAUAUCAAGGGAUACAAAUGAGGUAAUGGGCGUUCGUGUGAUUGGUUUAAUGAGGAGAUCAGACCCACCUAGUGACUUCUCGUCAAUGAAGUACGAACAGUUAAGAAGUCUUUAUGAAUUCUUAAAUCAUAAAAACAAUGAGGUCAACUUCUUUGAAAGAUACGGAGUUGAUGAAGCCAUACAUUUCACAACAUUAGGAGUCCACAAAAAGUUCCGCCGAAUGGGUCUUGGAGGUCGACUCCUUGGGGCAGCAGUCGCCAUGAGCAAGGAGUUAGAAUUCAAAGCAAUACAGGGUGAAGGGACGUCCAAUUUCUCACAAAGAAUAUAUGAAAAACAAGGAUUUUAAACUCUAGUUACAAUGCCUUAUGACAGUUACUUUUAUAAGGGACAGCCUAUCAGAAAUGCAACAGGGGAGCACACAAUGACAAAAGUUUAUGGUCUUACGUUAUAGAAGAUUUUCUUCUAUUACGCACAGAAAUAAUGAAACCAUAAAUCUAUGUAUAACCAUCAGACGUGCAAGAUCAUGUAGCCAGAAUUUAUAUACCAUUCUUCGCUAAUAUAUUUUUUUCAUCCCAUUGUACAUAAUAAUAAAGUUUGAAAUCUUA